rnacentral:rRNA from 1 species
GACGAACGCUGGCGGCGUGCCUAAUACAUGCCAGUAGAACGCACAGUUUAUACCGUAGCUUGCUACACCAUAGACUGUGAGUUGCGAACGGGUGAGUAACGCGUAGGCAACCUGCCUGGUAGCGGGGGAUAACUAUUGGAAACGAUAGCUAAUACCGCAUAAUAUUAAUUAUUGCAUGAUAAUUAAUUGAAAGGUGCAAUUGCACCACUACCAGAUGGACCUGCGUUGUAUUAGCUAGUAGGUGAGGUAACGGCUCACCUAGGCGACGAUACAUAGCCGACCGGAGAGGGUGAUCGGCCACACUGGGACUGAGACACGGCCCAGACUCCUACGGGAAGCAGCAGUAGGGAAUCUUCGGCAAUGGACGAAAGUCUGACCGAGCAACGCCGCGUGAGUGAAGAAGGUUUUCGGAUCGUAAAGCUCUGUUGUAAGAGAAGAACGGGUGUGAGAGUGGAAAGUUCACACUGUGACGGUAUCUUACCAGAAAGGGACGGCUAACUACGUG